AUGCAAGUCGAGCGGUAAGGCCCUUCGGGGUACACGAGCGGCGAACGGGUGAGUAACACGUGGGUGAUCUGCCUCGCACUUCGGGAUAAGCCUGGGAAACUGGGUCUAAUACCGGAUAUGACCUGCUGUCGCAUGGCGGUGGGUGGAAAGAUUUAUCGGUGCGAGAUGGGCCCGCGGCCUAUCAGCUUGUUGGUGGGGUAAUGGCCUACCAAGGCGACGACGGGUAGCCGGCCUGAGAGGGCGACCGGCCACACUGGGACUGAGACACGGCCCAGACUCCUACGGGAGGCAGCAGUGGGGAAUAUUGCACAAUGGGCGAAAGCCUGAUGCAGCGACGCCGCGUGAGGGAUGACGGCCUUCGGGUUGUAAACCUCUUUCGACAGGGACGAAGCGCAAGUGACGGUACCUGUAGAAGAAGCACCGGCCAACUACGUGCCAGCAGCCGCGGUAAUACGUAGGGUGCGAGCGUUGUCCGGAAUUACUGGGCGUAAAGAGCUUGUAGGCGGUUUGUCGCGUCGUCCGUGAAAACUUGGGGCUCAACCCCAAGCUUGCGGGCGAUACGGGCAGACUUGA
rnacentral:rRNA from 1 species